ACAAUUUUUCAUUCGUUUUCCGGCUCUCGUUCAGGCAACAACUAAAAAUUAUUUUCGGGAAAAAAAAUUAUGAAAAUUAUUUGGGUACAAAAAUUUGUGUGUAAAAAUGUUUACGCGAGUUAAAAAAUUUUGUUUGUGAAAAGUAUCACAAGUGUAAAAAUUAUUAUUCGUAAAUCCUAAUUCCAAUGAUGGCUAAAAGUAUCUCCACACAAUUCAGCCCACACUCCAUACUCCAAACUACACAAUCCACACUUUAAGCUACCCAGUCCACACUCAUUGAACCGCAUUUCAAUCUACCAGACUCUUAUACACAAACUACACUUCGAUAAGCAUAUACAUAUGUAUAAGCAUAGUUCUUAUACGCUAAUCUGCACACUUAUACUCUGAUCUGCACACUUAUCUACACUCUACGCCAAUCUGCGGAGUUAUUUACACUCUACGCCAAUCUGCGGAGUUAAUUACACUCUACGCCAAUCUGCAAAACUAACCUACACUCUACGCACUGGACGCACUUCAGCAAAGCAAAUGAAAAAUGGUCGAUUAACACAACUCAAUACUCAAAGGAUACGUGUUUGGCCAUAUGUUUGGAAUUAGGGUAAAACAUGUUUUACAUAUUCUCGCAACGCAAUCGUCUACUUGGGGGAUGCAGCAAUAAUGAUUUCUACAGAUACGGGUUACGUUUCAAAGAAAGCCAUCGACAGAAUGGUUUUUCUUUCACUUACUACAAAUUAAUACCGAAGGACCAGCUGGAAUUACAAUACAAGUUUUUUUUCAAAGUUCCAUGUUAAAAAAGAGAUAAUAAAAAAGAUGUCUGAUUGUGAUUAUUAUUAACACUUAAUUAUUGUGUCAUAAUUUUUAAGGGGGGCUUAUAAGGGUUGUUAUCCAGUGUUGCUUUUCCCCUGAAUUAAAGCACAGAACCCCUUGAAGAACUGCCGCUGACAUUUUCAUUUCAUUUGACAGUUUUUUCAUGGCCAAGCAAGACCAAGAUAAAUGUUAUCUUAUUUUAUGUUUGGAUACGGCUCUCCCUUUUUAAUAAACUUUUAAAACUUAGUAGCCCUAUUCUUUGGUAGAUCAGGCAUAUUUGAAAUGAGAUUUUCCUCAGUCUGUUUCCAUUCCUGUUCCCGUAAACAUCUAUAUUGUUGAAUUUUCGUUCUAUUUGAAUUUUGACUUUGCUUACUUUGCUUGGAAGAGUUGGAAAAAAAAGAUUAUUUUUUCACAAAACAGUCCGAAGGGUUGGAGCUCCAAAGAUUGGCUGAAAUAAAUGUGCGAUUUAAGCACCUACAAAAUAUAGUCCAUGCGGAAGAUGAAAUCAUGGCAUACUUUAUGCUGGAAAUUAAAACAAUUUGCAGCACAAGAAGCCCCUGCUGUGGACCCUGCUGCAGUCCGUGCUGCAGUCCGUGCUGCGGUCCGUGCUGCAGCCCCUGCUGUGGACCCUGCUGCAGUCCGUGCUGCAGUUCGUUCUGCAGCCCCUGCUGCACUCCCUGCUGCUCCCCCUGCUGCACUCCCUGCUCCUAUCCCUGCUGCUAUCCCUGUGGGGCCCCAGGCGCUGGAUUCUGGUUCAGCCAAAUUUAUUGAUGCAAACAGCUAUGCAAUAAAAUCAUAACAAGAAACUACAUGAAAUCCGUACAAUUAAGCAAAUAAAAUUAGUUUUUAACUAUUUCAUGGACAAUAGUGCCAAAGGGAAGGCUAAUUUGGGGGCUGGGUGCUUAAAAAAUCACUUAAGGAUCCCCUACACUGUUGGGAUUAUAGGAUUUUUCUCGCUGAACACGAAUCAGGCCUCCAAAAGUGCAAUUACAUUGAUACGCCAUUGUGUAUCGCCCAUUGUGUAAAAAAAUAACAAUUUGUGGUAUACGAGGGUAUCUGUAGUCCUUAUGUAAAAAUUGUAUAUAUGUAGAUAUAAGAACCACCCGAUCAAAACAAAGACAGAAACUAGGCAGCAAUGUAAGCUCCCGUUCGUUGCUCCUUGCUCCGCAUUUGCUGAGAGCGUGGCCUGAGAGAGUGAAAGAGCGAGAGACACUCGUGUCAGCAGAGUGUGGAUGGCAUUUUAAUGUUUUUGUUGCUGAGAGAGCAAAUGGGUUCCGUUUGCCGAGAAUCCGAACUCCCUGCUCUCGUGUUCUCGCAAUCUCGCAUUGUUGAUGCUGAGAGAGCAGACGAAAGACACGAUCGGGAAUAAAAAGACAGCCACAAAGCAACUGCGAGAGUGUAUGUAUGUGUGCGUGCAUUGCGGUCGGGAAGCAAAGCUCUCGCUUGCAGAUGAAAUGAAGAUCAAGAGAUAAGACAAUUUGACAGUGCGCUUGGAGGCGAAGUACAAGAAAAAUGCAAGAAAAGAAGAAGCCUAAUCUCUGACACGGUCCUAACAAGUUUGGAUAUGUAGUAAAUCGAAUGCUGGAAGGCGAUUUAACAAUUUGGGUUUCCGCAAAGCCCUACAUGACCUCGAAGACGGUUUCCAUCAACAGAGGCCUCUCAAGUGACCCCGGCCAAUGGAAAAAAACCCUGCUGACGAGACUUUUGGCAAAGGCUUUACAUAAGAGUACCCACACCUUACAGCGCUUUAGAAAUGGGGCAGCUGUCGUUAGAAUACAAACCCCCAUUUCCUCCCCCCCCACAAAUAUAAUUUUUCACUAAAAAAUAUACAUCACAGUAGGCUGUAUUCUGUACCCUUUGGAAUAUUCAGGCCCUUAGUUGUAAAACCAAACAAUUUUUCAUUCGUUUUCCGGCUCUCGUUCAGGCAACAACUAAAAAUUAUUUUCGGGAAAAAAAAAUUAUGAAAAUUAUUUGGGUACAAAAAUUUGUGUGUAAAAAUGUUUACGCGAGUUAAAAAAUUUUGUUUGUGAAAAGUAUCACAAGUGUAAAAAUUAUUAUUCGUAAAUCCUAAUUCCAAUGAUGGCUAAAAGUAUCUCCACACAAUUCAGCCCACACUCCAUACUCCAAACUACACAAUCCACACUUUAAGCUACCCAGUCCACACUCAUUGAACCGCAUUUCAAUCUACCAGACUCUUAUACACAAACUACACUUCGAUAAGCAUAUACAUAUGUAUAAGCAUACUUCUUAUACGCUAAUCUGCACACUUAUACUCUGAUCUGCACACUUAUCUACACUCUACGCCAAUCUGCGGAGUUAUUUACACUCUACGCCAAUCUGCGGAGUUAAUUACACUCUACGCCAAUCUGCAAUCUUAUUUACACUCUACGCCAAUCUGCAAAACUAACCUACACUCUACGCACUGGACGCACUUCAGCAAAGCAAAUGAAAAAUGGUCGAUUAACACAACUCAAUACUCAAAGGAUACGUGUUUGGCCAUAUGUUUGGAAUUAGGGUAAAACAUGUUUUACAUGUUCUCGCAACGCAAUCGUCUACUUGGGGGAUGCAGCAAUAAUGAUUUCUACAGAUACGGGUUACGUUUCAAAGAAAGCCAUCGACAGAAUGGUUUUUCUUUCACUUAAUACAAAUUAAUACCGAAGGACCAGCUGGAAUUAGCCAAUACAAGUUUUUUUUUCAAAGUUCCAUGUUAAAAAUGUUUCAUUUGACAGUUUUUUCAUGGCCAAGCAAGACCAUGACCGGCAUAA